UACGUAGGGUGCAAGCGUUAAUCGGAAUUACUGGGCGUAAAGCGUGCGCAGGCGGUUUUGUAAGUCUGUCGUGAAAUCCCCGGGCUCAACCUGGGAAUGGCGAUGGAGACUGCAAGGCUAGAAUCUGGCAGAGGGGGGUAGAAUUCCACGUGUGAGCAGUGAAAUGCGUAGAUAUGUGGAGGAACACCGAUGGCGAAGGCAGCCCCCUGGGCUAAGAUUGACGCUCAUGCACGAAAGCGUGGGGAGCAAACGGG
rnacentral:rRNA from 1 species